rnacentral:rRNA from 1 species
AUUAAUCCCUCAUAGNNNUCCAGGAUGGCAUCAUCCUGCAAUUAAAGUCACAACGGUGAAAGAUGAGCAUGCGUCCCAUUAGCUAGUUGGUAAGGUAACGGCUUACCAAGGCGACGAUGGGUAGGGGUCCUGAGAGGGAGAUCCCCCCACACUGGUACUGAGACACGGACCAGACUCCUACGGGAGGCAGCAGUGAGGAAUAUUGGUCAAUGGACGCAAGUCUGAACCAGCCAUGCCGCGUGCAGGAUGACGGUCCUAUGGAUUGUAAACUGCUUUUGCACAGGAAGAAACACUCCGACGUGUCGGAGCUUGACGGUACUGUGAGAAUAAGGAUCGGCUAACUCCGUGCCAGCAGCCGCGGUAAUACGGAGGAUCCAAGCGUUAUCCGGAAUCAUUGGGUUUAAAGGGUCCGUAGGCGGUCUUGUAAGUCAGUGGUGAAAGCCCAUCGCUCAACGGUGGAACGGCCAUUGAUACUGCAGGACUUGAAUUAUUGGGAAGUAACUAGAAUAUGUAGUGUAGCGGUGAAAUGCUUAGAGAUUACAUGGAAUACCAAUUGCGAAGGCAGGUUACUACCAAUUUAUUGACGCUGAUGGACGAAAGCGUGGGUAGCGAACAGGAUUAGAUACCCUGGUAGUCCACGCCGUAAACGAUGGAUACUAGCUGUUGGGAGCAAUCUCAGUGGCUAAGCGAAAGUGAUAAGUAUCCCACCUGGGGAGUACGAACGCAAGUUUGAAACUCAAAGGAAUUGACGGGGGCCCGCACAAGCGGUGGAGCAUGUGGUUUAAUUCGAUGAUACGCGAGGAACCUUACCAAGGCUUAAAUGCAGACUGACCGAUUUGGAAACAGAUCUUUCGCAAGACAGUUUACAAGGUGCUGCAUGGUUGUCGUCAGCUCGUGCCGUGAGGUGUCAGGUUAAGUCCUAUAACGAGCGCAACCCCUGUUGUUAGUUGCCAGCGAGUCAAGUCGGGAACUCUAACAAGACUGCCAGUGCAAACUGUGAGGAAGGUGGGGAUGACGUCAAAUCAUCACGGCCCUUACGCCUUGGGCUACACACGUGCUACAAUGGCCGGUACAGAGAGCAGCCACUGGGUGACCAGGAGCGAAUCUAUAAAGCCGGUCACAGUNNNNNUCGGAGUCUGCAACUCGACUCCGUGAAGCUGGAAUCGCUAGUA